UCCGCCUUGGCUGGGUCUCAAGUGGCGACGGGUGAUAACACGUGGGUGAUCUGCCCUGCACUCUGGGAUAAGCCUGGGAAACUGGGUCUAAUACCGGAUAUGACCAACUGUCGCAUGGUGGUUGGUGGAAAGCUUUUGCGGUGUGGGAUGGGCCCGCGGCCUAUCAGCUUGUUGGUGGGGUAAUGGCCUACCAAGGCGACCACUGGUAGCCCACCUGAGAGGGUGAUCGGCCACGCUGGGACUGAGACACGGCCCAUACUCCUACAGGAGGCAGCAAUGGGGAAUAUUGCACAAUGGGCGCAAGCCUGAUGCAGCGACGCCUCGUGAGGGAUGACGGCCUUCGGGUUGUAAACCUCUUUCACCAGGGACGAACCGUGAGUGACGGUACCUGGAAAAGAACCACCGGCCAACUACCUGCCAACAUCCGCGGUAAUACGUAGGGUGCGAGCGUUGUCCGGAAUUACUGGGCGUAAAGAGCUCGUAGGCGGUUUGUCGCGUCGUCUGUGAAAUUCUGCAACUCAAUUGCAGGCGUGCAGGCGAUACGGGCAGACUUGAGUACUACACGGGAGACUGGAAUUCCUGGUGUAGCGGUGAAAUGCGCAGAUAUCAUGAGGAACACCGGUGGCGAACGCGGGUCUCUGGGUAGUAACUGACGCUGAAGAUCGAAAGCGUGGGUAGCGAACAGGAUUAGAUACCCUGAUUAGUCCACGCCGUAAACGGUGGGUACUAAGUGUGCGGUUCCUUUUCUCGGGAUCCGUGGCCGUAACUAUAGCAUUAAGUACCCCAGCUGGCCGAGUACGGGACCGUCAUGCUAAAACAUCGAAGCAAUUGACGAGGUGACCGCACGACCCGCGAGCAUG
rnacentral:rRNA from 1 species